UACGAAGGGAGCUAGCGUUGUUCGGAAUCACUGGGCGUAAAGCGCACGUAGGCGGAUGUGUCAGUCAGGGGUGAAAUCCCGGAGCUCAACUUCGGAACUGCCUUUGAUACAGCACGUCUUGAGUCCGGAAGAGGUGGGUGGAAUUCCUAGUGUAGAGGUGAAAUUCGUAGAUAUUAGGAAGAACACCGGUGGCGAAGGCGGCCCACUGGUCCGGUACUGACGCUGAGGUGCGAAAGUGCGGGGAGCAAACAGG
rnacentral:rRNA from 1 species